GACAGAGGGGGCAAGCGUUGCUCGGAAUUACUGGGCGUAAAGAGCGUGUAGGCGGCCAGGUAGGUCUGCUGUGAAAACUCGAGGCUUAACCUCGAGCUGUCGGCGGAAACCAUCUGGCUAGAGUCCGGAAGAGGAGAAUGGGAUUCCCGGUGUAGCGGUGAAAUGCGCAGAUAUCAGGAAGAACACCCGUGGCGAAGGCGGCUCUCUGGGACGGUACUGACGCUGAGACGCGAAAGCGUGGGGAGCGAACAGG
rnacentral:rRNA from 1 species